AUCCUCUGUGGUGGAGAUGAGAACGCGAUUGAAGAGUCUUUCCACCGCCUGAACUGUGUUUGUCGCGAUGGUGGUGGUCUGGUUACGGUCUGGAACUGAGUCUGCCAAAGUCUGGCAGAUAAGACCGAGAGCCAGGGACCAGGCAGUAAUGCCGAUAAGAAGCCUCGAACUGCGCUCUGAACUCGCCAUGCUUCCGUGAUCGCUGCUCGAUGGAGACUGAUCAUCCCCCAGACUGAUCCCAAAAGACCCCUGCCCAAACAAUCUCAGCUGGUUUAGGUUUAGUUUGUUUUAUUAAGCGCAAGUAGAAAAUAUCUCAAGUAUUGUUUAUUCGAAUUUCGUAGAGUGAGCAAAUUAAUGGCCAUUAAUGUUCGUUCGUGUACGAUUAUCUAAUUAAGCUAGCUAGGAAAAAAGAUGCCGUCUUGCCGAAUGUUAGUAAUAAUUUGCAUACACACAAAUAACAUUAACAAUUAGAUUUAUAAAUUACACAUCUUAGCAUAUACUUAGGCUAAUCGCUUGCUACUGUAUAUCCGUUUAACGCCCAGUAGAAUCGGUAUGUUGAUUGAGACAAUAUAUUUUUAUAUUCAGCAUUUGUAAAUUGGCUUAUAGCGUAAACUAAUCAGAUUCGAAGACUCAAAUUUUUCAUGAUCAUUUGUACAAUUACUGCUUCUUGAUUACUGUGUAAAUAUGUAAUUCUUAAUCUUGAAAUUAAACUUAAGACUAUAUUUAAAUAGUCUUUUAUCCGUGGGAAUAUGA